ACCUGCCCUAUGAUAAAUUAAAUGGCCGCGAUAUUUUGAUCGUGCAAAGGUAGCAUAAUCAUUAGUUUCUUAAUUAGGAACUGGAAUGAAAGGUUGAACGAGGAAAAAACUGUCUCAAUUUAAUUUAAUUUGAAUUUUAUAUUUAAGUAAAAAAGCUUAAAUAAUUUUAAAAGACGAGAAGACCCUAUAGAGUUUAAUAUUUAAUAGUUUGUAAAAAAUGUAGUAUAUAAAAUUUUAUUUAUUUAUUUAAGUAUUUAAUUGGGGUGAUUGAAAAAUUUAAUAAACUUUUUUUAAAACAUAAACAUUUAUAUAUGAUUAAUUGAUCCAUAAUUUGUGAUUAUAAGAUUAAAUUAC
rnacentral:rRNA from 1 species